UAGAGCGAUAAACCGGCUGGUGAUAUUUGUGGUGAGCAUUUGCGAACAUUCUAUGUUAGAAUUUGGUUAGAUUUGUAGUUGAAUCCUAAUAGGAUUAGGAUUAAUAUUUUAAUCUGUUGGAGAUAAAUUAAGAUUUAAAUAUUAAUUAGAGUAGAAAUCUAAUUAGAUUAGGAUUUGGGUAGCCUUUUGAUGUAAGCUAUAAAUAUAGCAUAUGUGCUAUUAUUGUUGUGGUGGUGGUACGGAUUAGCCACACCCAUAUGACAUGGCCAAUGUGGUCAUAAUUUUGGAUGCAUGGGUGCAAGCACUACAAUAAAACAGGCCUAUGCCGACGCUUUUACGCCGACGCAUUUAAAAAGCGUCGGUAAAUUUCUCCACCGUCGCAAUAUUACCGACGCUUGGGUUUUGCGUCGUUAAUUAUAUUGCGCGGNUCUCUUACGUCUUCUCUCUCGUCUUCCACCUAACAGCGAAAAAUACUCUUUCCAACCCACCUCUCUCUAACAGCAAUAACUCAAUCCCUCUCCCAGCUUCCUCUCUUCCCAAACCACCUCUCACCAAUCACUCUAUCUCUCUCCUAGCUUCCUCUCUUCCUAAACUAAAGAGUUCUCUCCAGUGAAUUUCCUCACUCCUACGUAUGAGGUAUCUCUUGCGCCCUAAUCUUCAUUCUCU
rnacentral:lncRNA from 1 species